rnacentral:rRNA from 1 species
GACGAACGCUGGCGGCGUGCUUAACACAUGCAAGUCGAACGGAAAGGCCCUGCUUUUGUGGGGUGCUCGAGUGGCGAACGGGUGAGUAACACGUGAGUAACCUGCCCUUGACUUUGGGAUAACUUCAGGAAACUGGGGCUAAUACCGGAUAGGAGCUCCUGCUGCAUGGUGGGGGUUGGAAAGUUUCGGCGGUUGGGGAUGGACUCGCGGCUUAUCAGCUUGUUGGUGGGGUAGUGGCUUACCAAGGCUUUGACGGGUAGCCGGCCUGAGAGGGUGGCCGGGCACAUGGGGACUGAGGGACGGCGCAGACUGCAACGGGAGGCAGCAGUGGGGAAUAUUGCACAGUGGGGGGGAGCCUGAUGCAACGACGCCGCGUGCGGAAUGACGGCUUUUGAGUUAUGAACCGCUUUCGACUGAGACGAAGCGUGAGUGACGGUAAUGGGUAAAGAAGCACCGGCUAACUACGUG